AACGCACAUUGCGCCCGCCAGUAUUCUGGCGGGCAUGCCUGUUCGAGCGUCAUUUCAACCAUCAAGCCCCGCGCUUGUGUUGGGGACCUGCGGCUGCCGCAGGCCCUGAAAGACAGUGGCGGGCUCGCUAGUCACACCGAGCGUAGUAGCAUUAUCUCGCUCAGGGCGUGCUGCGGGUUCCGGCCGUUAAACACCCCCCACAUCAAGGUUGACCUCGGAUCAGGUAGGAAGACCCGCUGAACUUAA
rnacentral:misc_RNA from 1 species